rnacentral:rRNA from 1 species
UACGAAGGUGGAAAGCGUUGUUCGGAUUUACUGGGCGUACAGGGAGCGUAGGCGGUUGGGUAAGCCCUCCGUGAAAUCUCCAGGCUUAACCUGGAAAGUGCAGAGGGGACUGUUCAGCUAGAGGAUGGGAGAGGAGCGCGGAAUUCCCGGUGUAGCGGUGAAAUGCGUAGAGAUCGGGAGGAAGGCCGGUGGCGAAGGCGGCGCUCUGGAACAUUUCUGACGCUGAGGCUCGAAAGCGUGGGGAGCAAACAGG